GUUUAUGACCUCAUGAAAUCAUGUCUAAGAGUUCCAUCUCGAGAUGUUAUAGAAGUUGUGACUGACAAUAGAAACAGUCAACCAUCCAUUCACUCUUAGUUGAUGUAUUUACAAAUUCUUAACCCCAUUUAAUAUUCUUAAAGUAAUUCAGAUUCUCAUUCAAUUCUUUCAAGCUGUAUAAUGCCACCAGCACAUAGGUAAUAUCCAUCCCCAUCACCCUUCAAUAACCUUGUAUAAUAUGUAGUUUUACAGAUACUGUGGCGGCC
rnacentral:misc_RNA from 1 species